GAGUUUGAUCCUGGCUCAGGAUGAACGCUGGCGGCGUGCUUAACACAUGCAAGUCGAACGGGAUCCCAGGAGCUUGCUCCUGGGUGAGAGUGGCGAACGGGUGAGUAAUGCGUGACCGACCUGCCCCAUACACCGGAAUAGCUCCUGGAAACGGGUGGUAAUGCCGGAUGCUCCAGUUGACCGCAUGGUCCUCUGGGAAAGCUUUUUGCGGUAUGGGAUGGGGUCGCGUCCUAUCAGCUUGAUGGCGGGGUAACGGCCCACCAUGGCUUCGACGGGUAGCCGGCCUGAGAGGGCGACCGGCCACAUUGGGACUGAGAUACGGCCCAGACUCCUACGGGAGGCAGCAGUGGGGAAUAUUGCACAAUGGGGGAAACCCUGAUGCAGCGACGCCGCGUGGAGGAAGAAGGUCUUCGGAUUGUAAACUCCUGUUGUUGAGGAAGAUAAUGACGGUACUCAACAAGGAAGUGACGGCUAACUACGUGCCAGCCGCCGCGGUAAUAC
rnacentral:rRNA from 1 species